rnacentral:lncRNA from 1 species
AUGAAGGAUUGAAUCCACACGUGAACUAAAGAAAUAAAACCAUGUUUUUUUUAUAUACUACUUAUAGGAUCAGUCUCAGUUUAUAAAGACAUUUUAUUUUAUUGAGACAAUAUAUUUUUGUGACCAUUUUCUAAAACGUAAGAUUCUCAAUGACCACCUAGUUUGUAUCAAAGUGGCUUUCCCAUAGUCCCCCACAAAUCGAUACGAAUUAGCUACAAAUUUUUAAACUGACCAACUUUCUGUAUGCAAUUGUUUGGCAUAAAUAAAUGGAUAGAAUAUUGGAAAUUGUCUAAGAGAAUAAUUUAAGAAUAACUAAUAUUAAGCCCUUCUCAUUGAUGCUUUGAUGAUAAUUAGGCCACGCAGCCAACUGUCAGUUGAGACUCUCCAAGUUAAAUUAUUAACAGCAACUUUCCUAUUCACAGUAGCCAGGGAAUAUUUGCCGAAUUAUUCUAAAAGUAGAGUCAUAUCACUCACAUCCUUUUUACAGGAAAAUUAAAACAAUUUUCACAUUGUCCAGGACCAUCCCUGCCAACCCUGGUUCUUACUGGAUUUUUAGAAGUGGAUCGCACAUCCCUAGUAACUGGGAGAUGCUGGCAUGAGCAUCUGCACAGACACAGGCCAAUGGAAAAUCCGAGCUGCCUUAUCCUUGACUCACAGGGCAGCAGAGCAGUGGAACGGCUGUGUCAGAAGCCUACUUUUUCUUCAUGUGAAACGUUGGCGGAAAGAGAUUCCGAUUUAAGGCUUGUUAAAAACAAAGAAGGCAACAAGAUUUGAAAGAAUAAAACCACUAAGUCUUUGCUUUUGUAGUUUUCCUUGCCCAUUUUCUUGUUGUUCUCCCUAAAAUUCUAAUGACAUGUUUUAUAACAUUUAGUUAUAAUUUAAUUUAAGCUUAUUUAAUUACUCUCUAAAUAUCGUGUAGAAGAGAAUGGGUAUUGUCCGGGACUACGAUUUAGCCGAGAAGUGGCACCUCCAGGACUUGGCGUGUGGUGGCAGCAGCAGUGACCGUGAGAGACGUUGAAGGGACGGUGACACUGAACGAAGAUGUCAGACCAGGUCACUUUUCUGGA